UUACAGGUUUUGAGAAAGAGGAGUAUGAUUUGCACCCUGUCAGAGAGAACGAUUCAUUGGCUGAAAGAUUGUUUGAGGAAGUGGAAUCAGAAGGUAGCUUUUGAACUGGAGUGCUGAAGUGCAGUUGCAGUAGUAAGUGCUCACGUAUCAUCCCCGUUAUCGGAUGGAUUGGUCAUAGGCCAUGAGAGAGGGACAGUUUUCUGUCUAAAAAAAGGUGGUACCGCGUAGUUUACGCCCUUUGC
rnacentral:ncRNA from 1 species